CGGUAAUUCCAGCUCCAAUAGCGUAUACUAAAGUUGUUGCAGUUAAAAAGCUCGUAGUUGGAUUUCUGCGGGGACGGAGCGGCCGGACGCAACUUGCGUCUCGAGCUAGCGCUUUCCCCGCAUCCUGCCGCGAACCGUGCUACCAUUAGCUUGGUGGCGCUGGGGAUCGGCUCGAUUACUUUGAGAAAAAUAGAGUGUUCAAAGCAGGCCACACGCCUUGAAUAAGUUAGCAUGGAAUAAUGACUAAGGACUUCGGUUCUAUUUUGUUGGUGUUCGGGACUGAAGUAAUGAUUGAUAGGGACAGUUGGGGCGGUCUGUAUUCCAAAGCGAGAGGUGAAAUUCUUAGACCUUCGGAAGACAAACAGCUGCGAAAGCGUUCCGCAAGGAUGUUCCCUUUGAUCAAGAACGAAAGUUGGGGGAUCGAAGACGAUCAGAUACCGUCGUAGUCUCAACUAUAAACUAUACCAGCUAGGGAUCGGUCAACGUUUAAUCAUUCGACUUGAUCGGCACCUUAUGAGAAAUCAAAGCAUCUGGGUUCCGGGGGGAGUAUGGUCGCAAGGCUGAAACUUAAAGGAAUUGACGGAAGGGCACCACCAGCCGUGGAGCCUGUGGCUUAAUUUGACUCAACACGGGAAAACUUACCAGGUCCAGACAUAGUAAGGAUUGACAGAUUGAUAGCUCUUUCUUGAUUCUGUGGGUGGUGGUGCAUGGCCGUUCUUAGUUGGUGGAGUGAUUUGUCUGGUUAAUUCCGUUAACGAACGAGACCCCAGCCUGCUAAAUAGCGCGGCUGAGCUUUGCUCGGUGCGAGCUUCUUAGAGGGACUAUGAUGCGCGAUAGCACAUGGAAGUUUGGGGCAAUAACAGGUCUGUGAUGCCCUUAGAUGUUCUGGGCCGCACACGGGCUACACUGGCGCCUGCAACGAGCAUAUCAGCUGGCCCGAGAGGGUCUUGGCUAAUCUUUUGAACCGGCGCCGUGCUUGGGAUUGACCAUUGCAAUUGUUGGUCAUGCAACGAGGAAUGCCUUGUAAACGCGAGUCAUCAGCUCGCAUUGAAUACGUCCCUGCCCUUUGUACACACCGCCCGUCGCUCCUACCGAUGAAUGUUCCGAUGAAAUUUUCGGAGAGCGCCAGAGAACGGGGCUCUGCCUUGCAGAUCUGGAGGCUCAAAGUCACUUAAAUCUGAACAUUUCGAGGAAGGAGAAGUCGUAACAAGGUAGCCG
rnacentral:rRNA from 1 species